CAGGCCUAACACAUGCAAGUCGAACGAGAUCUUCGGAUCUAGUGGCGCACGGGUGCGUAACGCGUGGGAAUCUGCCCUUGGGUUCGGAAUAACAGUGGGAAACUACUGCUAAUACCGGAUGAUGACGUAAGUCCAAAGAUUUAUCGCCCGAGGAUGAGCCCGCGUCAGAUUAGCUAGUUGGUGGGGUAAAGGCCUACCAAGGCGACGAUCUGUAGCUGGUCUGAGAGGAUGAUCAGCCACACUGGGACUGAGACACGGCCCAGACUCCUACGGGAGGCAGCAGUGGGGAAUAUUGGACAAUGGGCGAAAGCCUGAUCCAGCAAUGCCGCGUGAGUGAUGAAGGCCUUAGGGUUGUAAAGCUCUUUUACCCGGGAUGAUAAUGACAGUACCGGGAGAAUAAGCUCCGGCUAACUCCGUGCCAGCAGCCGCGGUAAU
rnacentral:rRNA from 1 species